rnacentral:rRNA from 1 species
GAACCGGACGAACGUUAUUCGGAAUCACUGGGCUUAAAGAGUCCGUAGGCGGCUUGGUAGGUGAGGUGUGAAAUCCCACGGCUCAACCGUGGAAUUGCGCUUCAAACCACCAGGCUUGAGGGAGAUAGAGGAAAGCGGAACAGAUGGUGGAGCGGUGAAAUGCGUUGAUAUCAUCUGGAACACCGGUGGCGAAGGCGGCUUUCUGGGUCUCUUCUGACGCUGAGGGACGAAAGCUAGGGUAGCGAACGGGGAUUAGAUACCCCGGUAGUCCUAGCUGUAAACGAUGAGCACUGGGUUGAAGGUACUUCCCACAUCCUUUCAGCCGUAGCGAAAGCGUUAAGUGCUCCGCCUGGGGAGUAUGGUCGCAAGGCUG